GGGAAUAUUAGCUCUGCCUUAGCUACAAAAUGCAAUCUAACAAAGUACUUAGCUUAAGAGUUAUUCAAGUAAGGCACAGCUUACUUGAAACAGGAUACAACCUUAAAUAACGGGUAAACGAUAAACCUAUUGCCUAAGUAGGCCUAAAAGCAGCCACCUUUAAAAAAGCGUCAAAGCUUAGUCACUUCAUGCCUCAAAUUCCUAUUUAAUAUCUGAACCCUCUACCCCUAUCAAGUAAUUUUAUACUUCUAUAAAAGAUAUUAUGCUAGAACUAGUAACAAGAAAAUGCCUUCUCCUAAAUGUAAGCAUAAACCAGAAUGGACACCCCACUGGUAAUCAACGUAAAUGCACCUUUUAUAGCAACGCUAACAAGAAAAACCUAUUAACUUAAACGUUAACCUAACACUAGAACAUUCCAGGAAAGAUUAAAAGAGAAAGAAGGAACUCGGCAAAAUUUAGCCCCGCCUGUUUACCAAAAACAUCGCCUCUUGAAAAAUAUAAGAGGUCCAGCCCUGCCCAGUGACAAAGUUCAACGGCCGCGGUACCCUAACCGCGCGAAAGUAGCAUAAUCACUUGUUCUUUAAAUAGGGACUAGUAUCAAUGGCAUCACGAGGGCUGCACUGUCUCCUUUCUCCAAUCAGUGAAACUGAUCUCCCCGUGAAGAAGCGGGGAUUUUGAUAUAAGACGAGAAGACCCCAUGGAGCUUCAAGCAACGAAUUUACCUUUAACUCGUAUUUCUACUAAUUUCAAAAGCCUAAAUUCUAGCUUUUGGUUGGGGGGACCGCGGAGUAUAACCCAACCUCCGCAACUAACGGGCUUUGCCCUAAUCCAUGAGCCACACCUCUAAGAAUCAAUAAAUUGAUGCCUUUGACCCGAAAACUCGAUCAAUGGACCAAGUUACCCUGGGGAUAACAGCGCGAUCUACUUUGAGAGCCCCUAUCGACAAGUAGGCUUACGACCUCGAUGUUGGAUCAGGGUAUCCCAGUGGUGCAGCCGCUACUAAAGGUUCGUUUGUUCAACGAUUAAAACCCUACGUGAUCUGAGUUAAAAACCGGAGAGUGAUUACGCUACCUUUGCACCGGUCAGAGA
rnacentral:rRNA from 1 species